rnacentral:rRNA from 2 species
GAGUGGCGAACGGGUGAGUAACACGUGGGUAACCUGCCCAUCAGAAGGGGAUAACACUUGGAAACAGGUGCUAAUACCGUAUAACAAUCGAAACCGCAUGGUUUUGAUUUGAAAGGCGCUUUCGGGUGUCGCUGAUGGAUGGACCCGCGGUGCAUUAGCUAGUUGGUGAGGUAACGGCUCACCAAGGCCACGAUGCAUAGCCGACCUGAGAGGGUGAUCGGCCACAUUGGGACUGAGACACGGCCCAAACUCCUACGGGAGGCAGCAGUAGGGAAUCUUCGGCAAUGGACGAAAGUCUGACCGAGCAACGCCGCGUGAGUGAAGAAGGUUUUCGGAUCGUAAAACUCUGUUGUUAGAGAAGAACAAGGAUGAGAGUAACUGUUCAUCCCUUGACGGUAUCUAACCAGAAAGCCACGGCUAACUACGUGCCAGCAGCCGCGGUAAUACGUAGGUGGCAAGCGUUGUCCGGAUUUAUUGGGCGUAAAGCGAGCGCAGGCGGUUUCUUAAGUCUGAUGUGAAAGCCCCCGGCUCAACC